AUCCCAUGAUGAGGACACUUACGAAGUAACUCAUUGAAUCACUCCCAAGCCUCAUACAAAGACUCUCCAUCCAAUAGUUGGAAAGUUGUUAUCUUGUUCCUUAACUU
rnacentral:snoRNA from 1 species